CUAACCAAUAAUUUUGUUAUUUUAUUUUAACCCCCCUUCCUCUCCCUACACCUCUCGUUCUCUCAGCUCAUUCUUGUUACUCUCUCCAUCUAUUUACAUUUCUCUCACUUCUCUCCUUCCCUCAAAACUCUCAUAUUUCCUCUGCACGCACAGAGAGCUCCAAAAGCCCCAUAAACAUGGAGCUGCUGCUCCAUUUGGUUAGCAAGCAUUCAGGAUCAUCCGAUAAAAUUAGGGGUUUGGUGUGUAGAGAUUGUUAGUUGGGUUGUCAUGUCAAAUCUCGGAUUAUCAAUUAAAAUCAUGGAUUUACCCUUCUGUACGCGUGUUCGCCAUCCUAGAAAGGAAGGGGACGGGUGACACUCUUUUUCUGCUUCUCUAGGGUGGAUCUCUAGAAUUCUCCAUUGGUUUAAAGAACUUUGUGGAUCUUUUGACUCAAGAAUUGAAGCUUUGGAAAAUCAGGAACAAGCUCAUAUGGCUCUGCUGGAGGCUAAGAAGAUUGCAUCCCAGUAUCAAAAGGAAGCAGACAAGUGCAGUUCAGGGAUGGAAACAUGUGAAGAAGCAAGGGAGAAAGGAAGGGAUGAAAAUAUUGUCGUCGGUGCUUCCUACCUUUUCCGAUAAGUUAUUUGACAAGAUAUGGGCUAGACGAGCUGAGAUAGGGUUAGACUAGGGAUUUAUGGGUUUUACGUUCUGAAAGGAUUUUGUAAUAAUUACUUGUUAAGAGAAGUUUUUAUUUUUCGUUUUUACUUUUUGGCUUCCUCAUCCUUCGGGUGAUGGUCAUCAAAUCGCAAUUUGAGUGUUCAGGUGAACAUUUUGGAUCGAAGGGUGAUAUCUAAUACUAUUUACUUUUAACGAAAAAUCAUAUUUUUAUC